CUCUCUGCUGCAGAAGGAGGGAAGUUCCUUUGGGCAGAUUGUCUGGUGUCAGAGGUGGGCUUGUGUGGAGACUCUGUCCUGCUGGUGUGGAGACUCUGUCCUGAUGUCUCUUUCUUCUUUGUCUUUAAGUAGUUUAUGUGCUCAUAGCAGGACUCAACGUAGGAGCUACUCUGGCGCAUCCAUGCAAGGGGUGACCAAAUGUAUCUCUGCUCGAAUGCUGGGAUGUUUGCGAACACAACUGCUGUGAACAAACUGACAAAAAUUGCUGAUCCUCACCCCUAUUUAUGGAAAAAGAAGGAUCAAAGCUUCUAAGAUGUCUUUGUGACAUCAUCAUUCUGUAAGCCAAUGAGAUUCUCACAUGAAAUUUAUGAAUGAGAAUGUUUUUUUUUAAACUGUUUUCAAAUUUAAUAUGUCAGUUUUUCUUAGGCUACAUUCAAUGAUGAUGCAGCCUUGACAUGAGGUUUGGCAGGUUGCUGGAAACAGUGAACACCUCAGACACGCAGCCUGCCAUGGACAGCAGAGAGAUGAUCAGAAGAACGGGUUUACAAUCAGCGACAUGCUUUUUUUUUUUUUUUUUUUUUUUUUUAACCCGACCUGUUCAUAUUGCGGCAUCUUGAAUGAUGAACGCUUUAUGAGGAAAUGAUGUGGGGCAUGAGUACGAUGAACCUUCACUCAGACAACUCCCCGUCGCAGUGUUUGGGUCACACUUAGUCACAUUAAAUCUGUUUUUCAGGAUUAAAGCUUUAACUUGAA